GUCGGCUACGGGGACAUGGUGCCCACCACCAUCGGGGGCAAGAUCGUGGGGUCCCUGUGCGCCAUCGCCGGCGUCUUAACCAUUGCCUUACCGGUGCCCGUCAUCGUCUCCAAC
rfam:Picoides pubescens contig69156, whole genome shotgun sequence.